rfam:Schistosoma haematobium scaffold2481_4, whole genome shotgun sequence.
AUCCAGCUGACGAAUCCCAUAUAGGAAGAAACGCGCAUCUUGGAU